CUGGAACCACCAGUCACAAAAAGACUAAUGUAAAUGGUUGGAUGCACAGAUGAAGAGUCCAUAUGAACAGGAGGUAUCCAUCAAAAGCAGGUAACAGAAGAUGAAUACAAAAGUGUGACAUGAUUCUGAAGAAAAGGGCUAAAUCUCAGGCUUUUCUUGACAAAGAGGAUGAUCAUUGUACUGGAGAUGACAAAGUAAAUAUUUAUAAUAGGAGGUUGAUACUCAAGAUAAGUGAGGAGACAGUGAGAGUACCUCAGUGGCCCUAACAAAUUCAAAGUUACCUGGACCAGUUGAAAUAUAUCUUGAGUAUUAAAUAACUGGUAGGCAUUAUUUCUGA